AGCAGCCGCGGUAAUUCCAGCUCCAAUAGCGUAUAUUAAAGUUGUUGCAGUUAAAAAGCUCGUAGUUGAAUUUCGGGAUUGGCGCAUCGGUCGUGCCUCACGGGGUAUGAACUGGUGCAGUCAAUUUCUCACCUUCUGGAGAACCGCGAUGUCCUUAAUUGGAUGCCGCGGGGAACCAGGACCUUUACUUUGAAAAAAUUAGAGUGUUUAAAGCAGGCAUUUUUGCUUGAAUACAUUAGCAUGGAAUAAUAAAAUAGGACGGCAUGGUUCUAUUUUGUUGGUUUCUAGGACCACCGUAAUGAUUAAUAGGGAUAGUUGGGGGCAUUAGUAUUCAAUUGUCAGAGGUGAAAUUCUUGGAUUUAUUGAAGACUAACUACUGCGAAAGCAUUUGCCAAGGAUGUUUUCAUUAAUCAAGAACGAAAGUUAGGGGAUCGAAGACGAUCAGAUACCGUCGUGGUCUUAACCAUAAACUAUGCCGACUAGGAAUCAGACGAUGUUAAUUUUUUAAUGGCUCGUUUGG
rnacentral:misc_RNA from 1 species